rnacentral:lncRNA from 1 species
CUAGUGCCCUCAAACCCAUCUCUGCAUGUCUCCUGGUUUGCAAGUGCAGCACUUAGCCAUGUCCUCGCCGCUCGCCGCACACGACCCCCUUCCUCGCCGCUCUUUCUCUGGUCGUCUCUCGCCGUCGCGGGCUCGCCGUCGGUCCGUCUCUGCUCCCUCGCCGUCACUUCCACCCUCCAUCGUCUGCUGGACACGCGUGUCCAAACGUGUCGGGCAAAGGUUGACCACGUGUCGGAUUUCCGACACGCGUUGACC